rnacentral:rRNA from 1 species
AAACUUGAGAGUUUGAUCCUGGCUCAGAACGAACGCUGGCGGCAUGCCUAACACAUGCAAGUCGAACGAAGCCUUCGGGCUUAGUGGCGCACGGGUGCGUAACGCGUGGGAACCUGCCUUUAGGUUCGGAAUAACAGUUAGAAAUGACUGCUAAUACCGGAUAAUGUCUUCGGACCAAAGAUUUAUCGCCUUUAGAUGGGCCCGCGUUGGAUUAGAUAGUUGGUGGGGUAAUGGCCUACCAAGUCGACGAUCCAUAGCUGGUCUGAGAGGAUGAUCAGCCACACUGGGACUGAGACACGGCCCAGACUCCUACGGGAGGCAGCAGUGG